rfam:Picea glauca, whole genome shotgun sequence.
ACAUGCCUACAACAUAGUGUUAAUUCACUGGAUCCCAUUAAAACUACAUAGUUAAGCGUGCUCAACCUAGAGUAGUACUGGGAUGGGUGACCGCCCAAGAAGUCCUAGUGUUUUACAUGCC